rnacentral:piRNA from 1 species
UGACCCUGCAUAAUUCGUGGGCAUUC